UACGUAGGGCGCAAGCGUUGUCCGGAAUUAUUGGGCGUAAAGAGCUCGUAGGCGGUCUGUCGCGUCUGCUGUGAAAACUCAGGGCUUAACCCUGAGCUUGCAGUGGGUACGGGCAGACUAGAGUGCGGUAGGGGAGACUGGAAUUCCUGGUGUAGCGGUGAAAUGCGCAGAUAUCAGGAGGAACACCGGUGGCGAAGGCGGGGUCUCUGGGGCCAUAACUGACGCUGGAGGAGCGAAAAGCAUGGGGGAGCGAACAGG
rnacentral:rRNA from 1 species